GAGAUGCCUGUUGUCGACUAAAGUCUUUAUAACAAGUGGCUUUUCCACUCUGAUGGGGUGUUACGAUAGCUUAAUUCCAUGCUACACUGAUGCUUUAUCUGUUCCUUUCUGAAAGAGUAUAAAGGGGCUAGAUUGCUGCUGCUGAGGCGCUGUGCAGUGAAGAUAGCAUCAUCUCCAUUUCCUAGUAGUGCACAAGGGAACAGCAUGCCAACAAUCUGAUUCAGAAACCUGCUCGAGAGGAAGAGCCAAGCUUAUUUGUACAACUUCCUGACUAGGAGAUGGAACUCUUCAGUGUGUUACAGUUCUCAGCUCUCUCUCCCAGACUCAACUGCAAAGAAUUAAUUGGAAGCUAACUUUAUUACUUCAUGGAUCUUGCUGUGCAGCCAAAAACAUUUAGAAACCUGAAACUAUCUCCCUAUGAAAUGUGAAGUUGCUGCAUGAAGCAAUUUGGUCUAAUUAAAAAAUAUUUCCAA